AUGAACGCUGGCGGCGUGGAUAAGGCAUGCAAGUCAAACGGCCCGCAAGGGCAGUGGCGGACGAGGUAGUAACACGUGGGUAACAUCCCCCAAAGUCAGGAAUAACAAGUCGAAAGAUUGGCUAAUACUUGAUAGUCUUCCAGAUUUAUUUCUGGCAGUAAAGAUUUAUCGCUUUGGGAAUGGCCUGCGAAGUAUCAGCUAGUUGGUAGUGUAAUGGACUACCAAGGCUAUGACGCUUAGGGGAGCUGAGAGGCUGACCCACACCGGUGGAACUGAGAAACGGUCCACACACCUACGGGUGGCCGCAGUCGAGAAUCUUCCGCAAUGGACGAAAGUCUGACGGAGCGACGCCGCGUGAUGGAUGAAGUCCCUAGGGACGUAAACAUCUUUUAUGAGGGAGAAAGUUUAUUGAUAGUACCUCACGAAUAAGGGGUUGCUAAACUCGU
rnacentral:rRNA from 1 species